GCUUAACCGGAGAAGUGCAUCGGAAACUGGGAGACUUGAGUGCAGAAGAGGACAGUGGAACUCCAUGUGUAGCGGUGGAAUGCGUAGAUAUAUGGAAGAACACCAGUGGCGAAGGCGGCUGUCUAGUCUGUAACUGACGCUGAGGCUCGAAAGCAUGGGUAGCGAACAGGAUUAGAUACCCUGGUAGUCCAUGCCGUAAACGAUGAGUGCUAAGUGUUGGAGGGUUUCCGCCCUUCAGUGCUGCAGCUAACGCAUUAAGCACUCCGCCUGGGGAGUACGACCGCAAGGUUGAAACUCAAAGGAAUUGACGGGGGCCCGCACAAGCGGUGGAGCAUGUGGUUUGAUUCGAAGCUACGCGAAGAACCUUACCAGGUCUUGACAUCUUCUGCCAAUCUUAGAGAUAAGACGUUCCCUUCGGGGACAGAAUGACAGGUGGUGCAUGGUUGUCGUCAGCUCGUGUCGUGAGAUGUUGGGUUAGGUCCCGCAACGAGCGCAACCCUUAUUAUCAGUUGCCAGCAUUCAGUUGGGCACUCUGGUGAGGCUGCCGGUGACAAACCAGAGGAAGGUGGGGAUGACGUCAAAUCAUCAUGCCCCUUAUGACCUGGGCUACACACGUGCUACAAUGGACGGUACAACG
rnacentral:rRNA from 1 species